AUACGUAGGGGGCGAGCGUUGUCCGGAAUGAUUGGGCGUAAAGGGCGCGUAGGCGGCCCGGUAAGUCUGGAGUGAAAGUCCUGUUUUUAAGAUGGGAAUUGCUUUGGAUACUGUCGGGCUUGAGUGCAGGAGAGGUAAGUGGAAUUCCCAGUGUAGCGGUGAAAUGCGUAGAGAUUGGGAGGAACACCAGUGGCGAAGGCGACUUACUGGACUGUAACUGACGCUGAGGCGCGAAAGUGUGGGGAGCAAACAGGAUUAGAUACCCUGGUAGUCCACACUGUAAACGAUGAAUGCUAGGUGUAGGGGGCAUCGACCCCUUCUGUGCCGCAGUCAACACAAUAAGCAUUCCGCCUGGGGAGUACGGCCGCAAGGUUGAAACUCAAAGGAAUUGACGGGG
rnacentral:rRNA from 1 species